GACAGAAGGUGCAGGCGUUAUUCGGAUUGACUGGGCGUAAAGGGUAAGUAGGCGGCGCAGUAAGAACGGGGGGACGAAAUGCUGGGGUGAUAACCGUAGAAGAGGCCCCUAAGAGUAAAGCGCUAAGAAAAAGAGGAGUGGUCAUUAGGUCGGAGGAAUUUCUAGCGGAAGGGUAAAAUCUUAAGAUUCUGGAAAGAACACCAAAAGUGGAGACAUCCCUCCAAUGACAACUGACGCUGAGGUACGGAAGCGUAGGGAGCAAACAGG
rnacentral:rRNA from 1 species